rnacentral:rRNA from 1 species
CGUGUAGGCGGCUGGCUAAGUCUGGUGUGAAAGCCCGGGGCUCACCCCCGGAAGUGCGCUGGAAACUAGUCAGCUAGAGUAUGGGAGAGGGAAGGGGAAUUCCUGGUGUAGCGGUGAAAUGCGUAGAUAUCAGGAGGAACACCGGCGGCGAAGGCGGCUUCCUGGACCAAUACUGACGCUGAGACGCGAAAGCGUGGGGAGCAAACAGGAUUAGAUACCCUGGUAGUCC